CGGACGGGUGAGUAACGCGUGGGUAACCUGCCUCAUACAGGGGGAUAACAGUUAGAAAUGACUGCUAAUACCGCAUAAGACCACAGCACCGCAUGGUGCAGGGGUAAAAACUCCGGUGGUAUGAGAUGGACCCGCGUCUGAUUAGGUAGUUGGUGGGAUAACGGCCUACCAAGCCGACGAUCAGUAGCCGACCUGAGAGGGUGACCGGCCACAUUGGGACUGAGACACGGCCCAA
rnacentral:rRNA from 1 species